AUUGAACGCUGGCGGCAUGCCUUACACAUGCAAGUCGAACGGCAGCACGGGUGCUUGCACCUGGUGGCGAGUGGCGAACGGGUGAGUAAUAUAUCGGAACGUACCUUAUUGUGGGGGAUAACGCAGCGAAAGCUGUGCUAAUACCGCAUAAUCCCUAAGGGGGAAAGCGGGGGACCGUAAGGCCUCGCGCAAUUAGAGCGGCCGAUACCUGAUUAGCUAGUUGGUGAGGUAAAGGCUCACCAAGGCAACGAUCAGUAGCUGGUCUGAGAGGACGACCAGCCACACUGGGACUGAGACACGGCCCAGACUCCUACGGGAGGCAGCAGUGGGGAAUUUUGGACAAUGGGCGCAAGCCUGAUCCAGCCAUGCCGCGUGCGGGAAGAAGGCCUUCGGGUUGUAAACCGCUUUUGUCAGGGAAGAAAAGACUCCUGUUAAUACCGGGGGUUCAUGACGGUACCUGAAGAAUAAGCACCGGCUAACUACGUGCCAGCCGCCGCGGUAA
rnacentral:rRNA from 1 species